CGCCGUGGCAGGAAGUGGUGGCGACUUCAGGGGAAGUUGAGGCUGGGUAAUCCCGGCGGGCCGUGCUGGUUUGGCCGGAUACGGCGGCCUAGAGGGGACGGUCUCGGCCCAGGUUCUUGCUCAGUCCGGUCCUGAAAGCAGCCGGGGUCCUGCUGCUACCCCAGGAGGGCGGCGUGUGGCCUUUGAUCCCGCGGAUGAUUAGGGGAUUUCUGGCCGGCGGGAGGCGCGUUCUUUCUCUCUUCAGCGCCGGGCGUGCCAGAAACUCGUCCUCGGGAGGGGAAGUGACUGGGCCAAAGUCGGUCACCUGGUGGCCCUCGCGGCAGGGCGAAGACGGUGGCGGGAGAUCAGCGGCCUUUCCUGAGGCCUCCCGGGUGCCAGGCUGCAGAGGUUGGAUUAGGCUCUGCACCCCGCCCCUAGUCUGUGGGGAGAAGGUCACAGAGGGGGACAGCUCUAGUUGCUGGAGGACCCCCACAUUUUUGCUGUGCCUACAAUUCUUCCAUUGCUUUCCACAGUCCAAUUCCACUAGAAGGUCAAUCUUUUCAGCCCUAAUUGCCUAUGUGAGAGAUGAAAGCUCAGUUCCCUGGGGUGACUGGAAUCUUACUGUUCCUCUCCUGUGAUGGUGGAAAGGUAACCACGACCAUGUAGAAGCUAAACUACUGCAUGGUCCUGACAUUAGAGAAAGCUAAUGAGAGGGAAAGAAAGAAAAGCAGACUGAGACUUCUGGACAGUAAGUAAGUCUGAUAAAAUGGGAAGCCCACUCCAUAUGCAAACUGACAAAAACACUUCAAUUCCUCUUGCACCAUUGCCAUUCUCUUAUAGGGAUAAUUGACAUUUCAUCAUUCUAAUAAAAAGUGGUAGGUAAACAGUCUUUGCCCACGUUCCAAUCCCUAAGCAAUUCUACAUUGUAAUUAAGACCUAUCAUUUGUGAAAGAAAAAAUGUUCUGACAGUAGACCAAAUUAAUAACAUCUAGUUUCUAGUUUUAAUUCUAAUAUGUAGGAAACAAAAAUGUUUGAAAACCCAGAGUAUGGGGUUACUAUAUUUUAUGUCUCUUAGCCCAACUGGAGCUGAAAUUAUGGGGAUGUGUACAUCAUACUCCUGAGACUCCAGUAGGAAGUACAGAGUCUCAGAUGCUGCAGGCCCUGAGAUGGGCAGAGGCUGGCAGUGCAUAACCUCACUGGGCCAAGUGACAGUUCCAAUGAGCCUUCAGUAUUACUGGGUCUUGAAGGACAAUUCAGACAGAUUAUGUAUUAGGCAGGCUGUAGCAGGAAGAAAUCUACAGCUGCCUGGAUUUGUCUGACCAGGAGCUGAUGCCCUGGAACUGCAUGGUUAUCAACUCAGUGGGCAAAAGGGACUAGAGCUCUUUCUCUUGUCCCUAUCAACUGGGGUUCUGCCCUACCCCUUGUUAAUGUAACCUUUAUAACAUUCAAAGUACAUUUGUUGGUGUCUCCCCCUGCCAGGUCUUCUCACCUGUGGAGCUACACUCAGUUUCCAGGCAAACUAAAAUUGACCCAGCUGUUCCUUCUCCAGUAAAUUCCACACUUUGUCAAAGGCCCCUCAAGUUCUGACUCCACAACAAAAUAAGAAAUACUCUUCACUGCACAGAGCUCAAGGUGCCUAGGUGUACAGGGCACAGUCCCAGCACAACCAUCCACAGGGGCACCUCAAGAGCCCCACAGCAUUGUCUCAGACUCCUUUUUGGACAUCGGUCAAAGGCAUGAUGCUGUGGGCCAUGAGCAAGGUUGGGUUCCUUUCCUUUCUGGAUUCUUCCCUGAUUUAAGCCUUGGUUUUCAGCAGCUUUUGGGGGUGGCCUGGACUACAGGGGGCCUAUGAACAUGCACCUGCCCACCUCUGAGGGUGUCUGCCUUUCCUGGCUGUUUCCAGCCCUACUGGACAGCACUGUCUGCAGCUUCCACUUCUUCCAGAGGUGACUGUACUGUCUUUGUGGUGACAGCCAUCAUCUCUGGACAGGUGGGCCUUAACAGCAUUUUGGGCCAUGUGCAUGGAAACCUCAUGGCAGCCACCCCCAUACAUGGUAGUUCUAAUUCGAGAAAAACUCACAACCUUCCUUGUGCCGAUGGCAGAGUACUUCAAAGUAAUCUAUUGCCCAAGCCCAGGCCAGUUCUUGGCUCAGACAUGGUGGCACAUGGGGCUCUGAACUUGCCCAUCCCCAAGGCACCUCUUCCAAGGUGGAAGGUAAGAGAUCCAUAGCUUAGCCUCUCAGUCAGACCAAGAUAUGUGGCUGGUCUAGAGAAACGAGCAAAUGAUUCAGUUGGGUACUAACUCUGGGUUUUUAUAGUGUCCUGUAUAGUCUAUGUAGACAGAGGUCAACUUCUGAAGAAUUCAUGGGGAUUGAUACUUAUUUGGCUUGCAAAUUGCUUCUAAGCCUGAUAGGACUAAUGUGGAAAUUGUAUCAUUCUAGAUGGUUCUAUUGGAAGUCAGGAUUGUGAGGACUGAAUCAGGCAGUGGUCUGGGGACAGGAAGGAGGUCAAUGAAGGGAUGGGGUGGGGUCAACUACUGGCAGUUUUCAGACACUAUAGACAUUCUCUUCAUGUGUCAGGCACUGGAUAUUAAACUUUUUGUGCCAAAUUCUCUAGGCAUCAGAGAGGUACUUGUUAAUUUUGGAGAUGAGUCUCAGUGAGAUUAGAUGAACUCCAAAAUCACAGAUCUAUUUCGUGCUGGACCUGGAAAAAGAAGCGAGGACUUCAUCAGGUAUAUCAGGUGGGAAAAUGAUUACAGAAAUAAGUAGGUUGUGGAGGGAAAAACAGAAUCCCAUGAUUUAGUUAGAAUGGAAUUUUUUUCUAUUUUUGUCCCUAGUAGAUUACCUGAAUCAAUGGGACAACAAAAUUGCUAUGGUUUCAUACCUAAAGAUCAAAUGGGUUGAGUUAGUAUCACUUUUUCAACAAUGUCUCUUUCAAGACCUCUACCCUGUUUCAUAUAAUUAUGUGUGUUUAUAUGUACAUAAUUACAUGAAUUAAAUAUGAAAUAUAUAUAUUUUUAUAUACUUGCAAAUAUAUGUAUAUUUCAUCUGCUGCUUCCAUCUCUGGCAUAGUCUCCUCUGAUUACCCUUUUCCACACCUUACUUAUCCACUGUCCCCUGGUGGUCACCCAGAUUGCCCCUUAGUCAUCAUCCUCAUAUAAUAGUCCCUUGCAGUCAUCUGAGAGAAUUUCUCUAGGACACAUACCCAAGAGGAGAAUUGGGCUAUAUUUUACUGAAUUUGUCAGAUUGCACCUUAGGAUGACUGUGGCAUUCACCCUCCAGCAAUAGUGCAUAGGAUCUACUCUAGGCUCACAUUCUCCAUAAUCACUUGGAAUGACCCAGUACUCCAAAAUUGUUAGUUUCAGCAGGGGAAGGGCAGCAUGGUCUGAAGAGCUACACUUGCUGAGGCAGUUCUGCAGUCUGGCUCCAUUUCCUGAAAUUCAGUCUAUGAUCUGUAUCUUUACAAAAGGACAAAUAUUGUAUGGUUGCACUGAUAUGUAAUAUCUAAAAUAAGCAAAUUCAUAUAUACUAUAAGUAGAAGUUAACAAGGGCUGAGGGCAGAAGGAAUGCAGAUCUAUUCUGUAAUUGGUACAGAGUUUCUCUUUUGGGUAAUGACAAAAUUCUGAUAAUGGAUAGUUGGGAUGGUAGCAAAACAUUGUAAAUGUAAUUAAUUCCACUUAAUUGUACACUAAAAAUGAAUAAAAUGGCACAUUUCAUGUGAUAUACAUGUUACCACAAUAAAAACAUGUCUUCAGUUCUCUAUGAGAUACUUUUUUUUGGUCACCAAAUAAAUCCCUUUAUACUGAAAGUAUUUGAAUGUGUUCUGUUUCUGCUCCUAAAUACCAUGAAAGGAAAUAGAACCUUUUUCCUUUUGGGGGUCGCCUGGGCUACCAGUUGAACUUUAUUUUUUCCUGGCUUAUUUAUAUCAUUUUUCUCUUUAACAAAAUUAAAAAAUGAAUCUAGAUUUCCUUAGUAAAAUAUUUAG
rnacentral:lncRNA from 1 species